rnacentral:rRNA from 1 species
CCUCGGAUCAGGUAGGGA